rnacentral:rRNA from 1 species
UACGAAGGGGGCUAGCGUUGCUCGGAAUUACUGGGCGUAAAGCGCACGUAGGUGGGUCGAUAAGUCGGGGGUGAAAUCCUGGAGCUCAACUCCAGAACUGCCUUCGAAACUGUCGGUCUUGAGUUCGGGAGAGGUGAGUGGAACUGCGAGUGUAGAGGUGAAAUUCGUAGAUAUUCGCAAGAACACCAGUGGCGAAGGCGGCUCACUGGCCCGAUACUGACGCUGAGGUGCGAAAGCGUGGGGAGCAAACAGG